GUCUACUGCCAUGCCACCCUGAACAAACCCAAUCUCUCUGAUCUCGGAAGCUAAGCAGGGGUGGGCCUGGUUAGUAGUUAGAUGGGAGACCACCUAGGAAGACCAGGUGCUGUAGGCG
rnacentral:rRNA from 1 species